UAUAAUAAUAAUAAUAAUAAUAAUAAUAAUAUAAUUAAGGGCUUUCGCCGUGCUCAUUUUUAAAAUAGCCCCGUCCCUCCACCAGUAUCGUCGCCACCACCCCCACCCUCGACUGCCAUCAUCUCCGUAGCCGCUGCUCCCACCACGAGCGGCGCCACACUCUCCUCCUCCCUCGUCGCCCACGCUACCUCCGCAUCUGGUGUCCUCGCAGCUUGUGGCAAGCACCCUCAUCGGGUCCCCCCCCCCCUCCCUCUCCGAGGGGGGAGCGGGGCCAAAGGGCUCCAAUCUUCGAUCGUGAGGAAGAGGGAGCGGCGACCGCGGUGACUGCGGCCUUGCUGGGGGAGGCGAGCGACGAGGACGCCGGUGGUGGAGGCAACACAGGCGACUGGGGAAGAGGGGGAAAGGAGGAGGAGAAAGGAAACAGGAGGGGAAGGGGAAUGGGAAGGGAGGAGAGGGCGGCACUGCUCGCGGUGGGGGGAGAAAGAGGGCGACGGAGCCCUAAAAUCACCUAAAAACUGUAACAAACAAAUGAAAUCACUUUUUAUAUCAUAUUUAUAUACUAUAUAAAAUGAUUAAAAUUAG
rnacentral:lncRNA from 1 species